UACGUAGGGUGCGAGCGUUAAUCGGAAUUACUGGGCGUAAAGCGUGCGCAGGCGGUUUUGUAAGCCAGAUGUGAAAUCCCCGGGCUCAACCUGGGAAUGGCAUUUGGGACUGCAAGGCUGGAGUGUGGCAGAGGAGACGUGGAAUUCCUGGUGUAGCAGUGAAAUGCGUAGAUAUCAGGAGGAAUACCGAUGGCGAAGGCAGGUCUCUGGGCUGACACUGACGCUCAUGCACGAAAGCGUGGGGAGCAAACAGG
rnacentral:rRNA from 1 species